UACGGGGGGGGCAAGCGUUGUUCGGAAUUACUGGGCGUAAAGGGCUCGUAGGUGGCCAACUAAGUCAGACGUGAAAUCCCUCGGCUUAACCGGGGAACUGCAUCUGAUACUGGAUGGCUUGAGUUUGGGAGAGGGACGCGGAAUUCCAGGUGUAGCGGUGAAAUGCGUAGAUAUCUGGAGGAACACCGGUGGCGAAGGCGGCGUCCUGGACCAACACUGACACUGAGGAGCGAAAGCCAGGGGAGCAAACGGG
rnacentral:rRNA from 1 species